rnacentral:rRNA from 1 species
AGUGAACGCUGGCGGUAGGCCUAACACAUGCAAGUCGAACGGCAGCACAGUAAGAGCUUGCUCUUACGGGUGGCGAGUGGCGGACGGGUGAGGAAUACAUCGGAAUCUACUUUUUCGUGGGGGAUAACGUAGGGAAACUUACGCUAAUACCGCAUACGACCUACGGGGGAAAGCAGGGGAUCUUCGGACCUUGCGCGAUUGAAUGAGCCGAUGUCGGAUUAGCUAGUUGGCGGGGUAAAGGCCCACCAAGGCGACGAUCCGUAGCUGGUCUGAGUGGAUGAUCAGCCACACUGGAACUGAGACACGGUCCAGACUCCUACGAGAGGCAGCAGUGGGGAAUAUUGGACAAUGGGCGCAAGCCUGAUCCAGCCAUACCGCGUGGGUGAAGAAGGCCUUCGGGUUGUAAAGCCCUUUUGUUGGGAAAGAAAAGCAGCAGGUUAAUACCCCGCUGUUCUGACGGUACCCAAAGAAUAAGCACCGGCUAACUUCGUG